rnacentral:rRNA from 1 species
GAUGAACGCUGGCGGCGUGCUUAACACAUGCAAGUCGAACGGAAAGGCUCCUGCUUGCAGGGGUACUCGAGUGGCGAACGGGUGAGUAACACGUGGGUGAUCUGCCCUGCACUUCGGGAUAAGCCUGGGAAACUGGGUCUAAUACCGGAUAGGACGAUGGUUUGGAUGCCAUUGUGGAAAGUUUUUCGGUGUGGGAUGAGCUCGCGGCCUAUCAGCUUGUUGGUGGGGUAAUGGCCUACCAAGGCGUCGACGGGUAGCCGGCCUGAGAGGGUGUACGGCCACAUUGGGACUGAGAUACGGCCCAGACUCCUACGGGAGGCAGCAGUGGGGAAUAUUGCAGAAUGGGCGCAAGCCUGAUGCAGCGACGCCGCGUGGGGGAUGACGGCCUUCGGGUUGUAAACUCCUUUCGCUAGGGACGAAGCGCAAGUGACGGUACCUGGAGAAGAAGCACCGGCUAACUACGUG